rnacentral:tRNA from 1 species
GCCCCCGUCGCUUAAGGGAUAGAGCAGCUCUCUCCUAAAGAGCAGAUGCAGGUUCGAGUCCUGCCGGGGGCACCA